UUUACCUUGAGUUUAUCUCGUACUUUUACCUAGAUGAGUUUAUCUCUUAUCUAUAUCUUGAUUGAAUGCAUAUCUUAUCUUUAUCUUGAUUAUUAUAAAGUCCUAAGAAUCUGUCCUUCUCUGUGCUUGUCGUGAGUAAAGAAUUGGACCACGUCAAUAGUACAGUUUAGGUAUUACACUUAGGAUUUUUAUUACCUUUUACCUUUUGUGCAUACCCUCUACCACGAGUAGAUGCGGGCUUGCCAGUAUCUUUACCUUUUAGCAUACCCUAUACUAUGCGUAUAGUGCGCUUGCUAGUAUCUUUACCUAGAUUGUGUCUUCCUAUCGCUACGAAAGCAAGUAGACGUUAUGAAUUAUCUUUUACCUUGAGUUUUAGAUGUUGAUAUCCGGAACCAUAUCAUAUAUGUUUAGGUUUGUAGUAAUGUAGUUUUAACUGGUCCUAAUGAAUUAGUCCCUCAUUGAAUUCUGGGGUGAUUAAUAGAAUUUGUUCGCUCUAGUGUCAAUGUUGGGUAAAGUUAAUAGGAUGCGUUUAGGUUAAUUGUUGUUUAUGGUUCUUAGUUAUAUUGUGUUAAGGGUUGUUAAUACACACCUGUAAUUUAGUUUUAAUCAUGGGUUUACUAACACUUGAGAAUGUAGAUAGUAAGUAGUGUUAAGAGUUAACUUACUCUAUAAGGUUGUAUAAUUAUAUUUAGAAUGUUAGUGAUUAACGCGUAAUUAUUUGUUUUUCUCUAUCUUUGGUUUUACUAAAUUAAAGUAAAUUAUCUUGUUGAAUAACUUAUGUCAGUCAGUUACGUAUGUCGGUUAGUUACACAUCCCUUCUAUGUUCUAUACUUUCUGCAAGUACCAUUAAAGAUAUCUCGCGUGGCCUCUAUACUGUCUGUAUGACUUCGUCCUGAUUUUUGUUCUGUCUCCUCAGCAAAUAGUAUGGCUGUUGAGCCUACCAAAAUUAUGGUUUUAUACCACAACGUUUCUCCUUUACCGUGUCCAUCCUCAGGUUCGCCUAGCGUCAGUUAGUUUUGGAAAAUAAAAAAAAAGGAAACUUGUAGAGUUUUCCUUUUUUUUGCUGGAGAAGAGGGAGAAUGUAGCGAUCACGCUACUAAUUAAAUUACUUUAAUUAAAAUUGGAUUAAAAUAUACCCCUCUACAAAAUCCUUGGGUGACGCCCGCGAAGAUCCCACAACGAUUUUUCGGUGCACAGGCGCGCCAAUAGAAAGAAAAUCGAUGAUUGUCGAUUUCUAGUUUAGUUGGUCACGAACUCACAAAGAGGCAACACAUCGUCAUUACUUAGGUGACGGAGUUUGGGCAAAAUUGGGAAAAUAUAUAACUAAAAGACCUCGAACAUCAGCCAAUAACCCAUACUAAUAAUAAUCAAGCAGUAGUUAUAUCUGGAGACUUAUUUACAAGAAAGGAAAAAGGUUAUAAUACCGCCGAUGUGUUGCUUUGCUCAAAUUCCGUCCCGUAGCUACUUGUCACAUAGACACUUAGCCUAGUCAAUUUAUAUAGAUUGUAUCAUCAUUUAAUGUGCCAUCAUAUAAAUAUGUGCCAGUUACUGUAAGCAGCUAGGGCAUGGGUUACCCCUAGAGUUACUUUUGAUUGGAUUGGAUAGUACCUAUUUCACAACAUCCAGGAUUGGAUUUAUCACCACAGCAGCCCACUAGUUUUUGCCGUGCCAAGAGGAAAUUCAUUCCUAUCUGGACCUUUUUAAAUAGGACUUGUGGUUAAGAUAAGUUGUUUAAUCUUAUUAUUUACAUAUUUUGGGUACUCUAUAGUUGCUUGCACUGUAAACUUCUUGUAUGCAUACAAUUGAGGUAAACUAGGUACAUAUUUCUUGAUAGAUAGGGUUUUAGGUCGUUGGUUUUUUUUUGAUUUAAUAUAAGUAGUAGUUUCCAAUAAAUAAAAUUAGGUCUUGUUCAAUAAUCAUUAUAAAUAAUAAUUGUAGCUUAAAAAUUUGAUAGGGAAGGGGUCGUUAAAGGUUUGUCGCGGAUUUCAAAUAGGGAAUAUGUCUUGUAGGUUUUUACAUUGUAUAUAAAGAGUAACUGACCAACUCAUUUAUACAACUCAUUUAUAUCACUCAUUUAUAUAACUCAUUUAUAUAACUCAUUAUAUAUUUAUUUAUUAGUGUUUUUGCUAGGUGAGAUCUUUAUUAUUUUUGGUAACCGUAGCGUUCUUGUUGUGGAUCUCACUCUAGCGUAGUUCAAUUUAGGAAAUAAUUACUAACUUUUUAGUUGUAAGGACUUAGUGCUAUUCUGACGGACUUUUGCUUUGGAUUUUGAUUUUAAUACCUUUGCUUGGCCAGUGAUAGUGGAUAAUUGCUUGUUAAGUGGCCUUUGCGGUCCUAUUUGAUCUUUUCCCCAUCCACUAUCACUGUUAUUACGUUGCGUUAUAUGUAAAGUGUUAACAUUUAAUAUUUAUUAUUAAUAUAUUUGUAUGUAUUAA